CGGCGUUUUGCCAGGAGUAAAGGGACAGUUUUACUGCAAUGCUUUCUCCAUAGCUCCGAGUGAGAGCAAGUUACUCGGGAGAAAGGGUGGUGCCUUGCUUUUGCCUGGCCGCACCGUGAACUAGCAACGUCCAUGCGCGUUUGCUUAUUUGAAAUCGGACCGAGCCAAUUGAGGAAGUCGAGGCAGGUGUCAUUCGGAAUUGUUCUUGACAAAAGGGUAUACGCUGUCCAUUUUCUCGUCUCAUAUCAGAUUUGUAUGGACUUUAAUUCCGGUCAAGCAGGCUCCUGUCGACUAGGUUGAUACAGUAUUUUGUUGCAGAGCGAAUUUCUUCAGAUGUCUCCGCGUUCGCAUUGAGGAACGGACAGACUAGACUCUGGAUUUAAAGCCUGAGGUGGAGUGUGGAAUUGAGAUCGCCGAUGUCCGUCUCUCCCAAAUAAGUCUCCCUGCUUUUGAUUUUUAUGACGGAAAGUGUACCCAGCGACGGUAGAACUGUUAGGAGACCUCUUCGACAUGAAUACAGAUAGCGGAGGACGCACGCGCAAAAGCGCCGCCUUGCUAGUCACCCGCUCCCACAUGAAGCGGGUCCAGAGUGUCCCGAAUCUG